UACGUAGGUGGCGAGCGUUGUCCGGAAUUACUGGGUGUAAAGGGCGUGUAGGCGGGGAAGCAAGUCAGAUGUGAAAUCCCGGGGCUCAACUCCGGAGUUGCAUCUGAAACUGUUUUUCUUGAGUGCUGGAGAGGAAAGCGGAAUUCCUAGUGUAGCGGUGAAAUGCGUAGAUAUUAGGAGGAACACCAGUGGCGAAGGCGGCUUUCUGGACAGUAACUGACGCUGAGGCGCGAAAGCGUGGGGAGCAAACAGGAUUAGAUACCCGCGUA
rnacentral:rRNA from 1 species